UUCUGCUCAAGGAAUUACGUGUCUUCUGGCAGCAUGCGAAACUCGAACAAACGGCACCGGUUUGAGACUCACAGGGGGUAUUACUUAAAAACAAACCAAUGAGCUGAAAACCACAAAGCGAAGCAACCUAAAAGUAAAAAAUCACUAGCGAAUUCAUUUUUGGUACGCUGCUGACAAGUUUAACAAUGCUAUCAAAGGAAAAGUUAGAGUAACUAAAAUCCAAAUUAAUACAGAAAUCAACGGAAGAGAAAAAAAUGUGAUACACAUAUCUAAAAAACAAA